rnacentral:rRNA from 1 species
UACGAAGGGGGCUAGCGUUGCUCGGAAUCACUGGGCGUAAAGGGUGCGUAGGCGGGUCUUUUAAGUCAGGGGUGAAAUCCUGGAGCUCAACUCCAGAACUGCCUUUGAUACUGGGAUUCUUGAGUUCGGGAGAGGUGAGCGGAACUGCGAGUGUAGAGGUGAAAUUCGUAGAUAUUCGCAAGAACACCAGUGGCGAAGGCGGCUCACUGGCCCGGUACUGACGCUGAGACGCGAAAGCGUGGGGAGCAAACAGG